GAUGAACGCUAGCGGCAGGCCUAACACAUGCAAGUCGAGGGAGAAGCCCUUUCGGGGGCAGACACCGGCGCACGGGUGCGUAACGCGUAUGCAACCUACCUUUCACAGGGGGAUAGCCCGAAGAAAUUUGGAUUAAUACCCCAUAAUAUUGUUGGAUGGCAUCAUUUGGCAAUUAAAACUGCGGUGGUGAAAGAUGGGCAUGCGUCCUAUUAGCUAGUUGGAGUGGUAACGGCACCCCAAGGCUACGAUAGGUAGGGGUCCUGAGAGGGAGAUCCCCCACACUGGUACUGAGACAGGGACCAGACUCCUACGGGAGGCAGCAGUGAGGAAUAUUGGUCAAUGGUCGGAAGACUGAACCAGCCAUGCCGCGUGCAGGAAGAAUGCCUUAUGGGUUGUAAACUGCUUUUAUAUGGGAAGAAUAAGGCGUACGUGUACGUUGAUGACGGUACCAUAUGAAUAAGCAUCGGCUAACUCCGUG
rnacentral:rRNA from 1 species